rnacentral:rRNA from 1 species
CCCUUAGAUGUCCUGGGCCGCACGCGCGCUACACUGAUGCAUGCAACGAGUUUAUAACCUUGGCCUGAAAGGUCUGGGUAAUCUUUUGAACGUGCAUCGUGAUAGGGAUAGAUUAUUGCAAUUGUUAAUCUUGAACGAGGAAUUCCUAGUAAACGCGAGUCAUCAGCUCGCAUUGAUUACGUCCCUGCCCUUUGUACACACCGCCCGUCGCACCUACCGAUUGAAUGGUUCGGUGAAGAUCUCGGACUUCGAUAUUUAUUCUUUAUUGAGUUUAUAUUGUGGGAAGUUAUCUAAACCUCAUCAUUUAGAGGAAGGUGAAGUCGUAACAA